rnacentral:sRNA from 1 species
GCUGGGCUCAGUGGUGCAUGCCUGUAAUCCCAGCAGCUCCGGAGGCUGAGACAGGAGGAUUGUGAGUUCAGAGCCAGCCUCAGCAAUAGUGAGGUGCUAAAUAACUCAUGAGACCCUGUCUUUA